rnacentral:rRNA from 1 species
UACAGAGGGGGCAAGCGUUGUUCGGAAUUACUGGGCGUAAAGAGCGUGUAGGCGGCUUGUUAAGUCUUGCGUGAAAUCUCGGGGCUCAACCCCGAGCGGUCGUGAGAAACUGGCAGGCUAGAGUGCGGGAGAGGAGAGUGGAAUUCCUGGUGUAGCGGUGAAAUGCGCAGAUAUCAGGAAGAACACCCGUGGCGAAGGCGGCUCUCUGGAACGCAACUGACGCUGAGACGCGAAAGCGUGGGGAGCAAACAGG